GACGAACGCUGGCGGCGUGCUUAACACAUGCAAGUCGAACGGUAAGGCCCUUCGGGGUACACGAGUGGCGAACGGGUGAGUAACACGUGGGUGAUCUGCCCUGCACUUCGGGAUAAGCCUGGGAAACUGGGUCUAAUACCGGAUAGGACCACUGCCUGCAUGGGUGGUGGUGGAAAGCUUUUGCGGUGUGGGAUGGGGCCGCGGCCCAUCAGCUUGUUGGUGGGGUGAUGGGCUACCAAGGCGACGACGGGUAGCCGGCCUGAGAAGGUGACCGGCCACCCUGGGACUGAGAUAUGGCCCAGACUCCUACGGGAGGCAGCAGGGGGGAAUAUUGCGCAGUGGGCGCAAGCCUGAUGCAGCGACGCCGCGUGAGGGAUGACGGCCUUCGGGUUGUAAACCUCUUUCAGCACCGACGAAGCGCAAGUGACGGUAGGUGCAGAAGAAGGACCGGCCAACUACGUGCCAGCAGCCGCCGUAA
rnacentral:rRNA from 1 species